rnacentral:rRNA from 1 species
AUGGCCGCCUCCUACAUAGCGGUAUUGCUCAUCCUCGCCGCAGUUGCCCCACGCCCCUCCUCGGCUCGGCACGUCGUCACCUUCAUCCCUAGUCGCGGCGUCUCCCCCUCCUCCCUGGCCUGGGACCCCACCGCUCAGCACUUCGUCGUCGCCGGCGGAGGCGACGCCGUCCUAUCCGUAUCCGACGCCGGCGUGACCGAAUCGAUCGCGUCCCCCGGUGCCUCCGCAGUCGCCGUUGACGACCGCCGCCGUCGUCUCAUAGUAGCGUCCGCCGGUUCCGUCUCCGCUUUCGACCUCCGCACCCCUCGCCCCCAUCGCCUCCUCUUCUCCACCACGCUCCCCGACCCCGCCGCGCCCGGCGGCGUCGCCGUGGACCCACAAUCUGGCGUCGCCUUCCUCACCUUGGGCGCCCAAAUCUACAGCCUUUCCCCUGACGGCGACCUCGCCGCGCUCCCUGCUUCGCCCGUCUAUGGCUCGGAGCCCCUUUCCUCCCUCACCGCACACGUGAGCCGCGGGUUCCUCCUCGUCGGCCGUCCCAGCACCGGCCACCUCCUCCGCGUCGACAUGGAGGACGGAUCCGCAAGAGCCGUUUCAGGGGCCUUUACGCCCCCCACGCCGAUCGCCGUCGCGGUGCGGAGCGAUGGGACGGUGGCGGUGGGCGGGGCCACGACUCUGCGCCUGGUCUGGAGCAACGACGGGUGGGUGUCUUGUGCGGAGCAUGACGUGGGGGAACCGGAUGGCGCUGUCGCGGCGGUGGCGGUAAGGGAGCGGAAGCGGUUGUACGCGCUGGUGGAGGCGGAGGUGGAGGGGAAGAGGGAAUGGCGGAUCGAGGAGGUGGAGUGGAAAAAGGAGGGGGAGGGGGAGAUGGUGGCGCUGUUAAUCUUGGUCGGCGCCGCCCUCGCCAUCUUCAUGUUCUGGAGGUUCCAGAUGCGGCAGCUCGCCGGCAACAUGAACAAGAAGAUCAGAUAG